rnacentral:rRNA from 1 species
AACGUAGGACGCAAGCGUUAUCCGGAAUUACUGGGCGUAAAGCGCGCGCAGGCGGGUCCGCAAGUCAUGUGUGAAAGCUCCCGGCUAAACCGGGAGAGGUCAGAUGAAACUGCGGGUCUAGAGGAUGUUAGAGGAGCGUGGAAUUCCAGGUGUAGUGGUGAAAUGCGUAGAUAUCUGGAGGAACACCGGUGGCGAAGGCGACGCUCUGGGACAUCCCUGACGCUGAGGCGCGAAAGCAUGGGGAGCGAACGGGAUUAGAUACCCUGGUA